UCAACAUUCACAAUGAUAACAGUGUGGUUAACAGCAGCAAGAAAAGGGUUAUUUAAAGCUGGGCAGCUGUAGAGACAUUCCUGUCAUAUCUGCCUGAGUUUUAACAACUUUUUACAAGCCUAACUGAUUAAUACAUGGUUAUUACUUACUGCAUUUAUGAUUUUUUUUUUAAAAAUCAGCAAAUUACAUAUCUGCAUUUGAGGAACUGAUUAUACAAUUAAAUUACUAUUACCAUCUAAAUCAUUACGGUGAGCUUUCUCAUGAUAGGAUAGGCGAGUUUGCAAUUGUAAAUAUCCAGGCACGUUUCAAGGAUGCGGGGGAAGUCUCCAAUACAAGUACACCUCCCUCGCAGGUUUACAGAACAGGCCAGGUCUAGAACUACAAAAGCCUUGCAGAACUCCCCAAAAACUCUUCCUUUCCCCUCACCUACAAAGAACGCAGAAAAAGAUGCUCUCGCACACCGCAAGCUUCACCUGAAAACACCGAAAAUACGGAAAGGGGGGAGGUGGGGAAGAGAAAGGCGCUCCUCAGCAAUUCGUGAGCCGGCCAGGUCUGUCAGUUGCUGUCCGUGCUCCAGGAAUGUGUACCAGGCUCACCACAAAGCACGCAAUCUCUGCCAGCCUCGGGGCUCACGGGCACGAAGCCGGUGCGGCUCAGUGCAUGAAUGACAGCAGCAGCCCCAGUGCCAAAGGUCCAACAAGGAGGCCCAAAGACCAUUAUGCUGUGGAAGAAAUGAAAUGGGAUGGCACAGAAUCAACAGGCUUUUCUAUGAAUAGCCCUUGAUCACAAGAUGGACACAGAGCUUACAGUACAUGGAGGAGGAAGAAGGUUUGCCCUCCUAGAACAGCAGGAGUGGGUAGCCUGGUCUUACCAUAACAAAUUACCUAAAUGUAGACAUGAUAAAAGGCUGAUUUAUUUUUUCCCUGUCAAAAUCUCCUGUCCAUCUUCAGGCUAACUGCUGAAACAAUCCAGAGGAAAAAGAAAAGUUCCUGUAACACAUGAUCAACUGGAAUAUUAAUCCUAUGAGAUUUGGGAGUAAUUGCAGUCACAAAUUGUACAAGAACUUACACCUGUGGUCAUUAAGGUUAUAAAGUCCCAUUCAUAUUGCUACAAAAAUGAGGUUAUAAUUAACUUCUAACAGCCUUCACUUUCCAGGGGGAUUAAGAUCUAUUCUACCUUCAUCAUGCCUAAGGCAUGAAACCCAUUUAUAGCAGAGAUUAUCAAAUGGACAGAUGCAUGUAAAAUAUUUCAGAACCAGACUUAGUAAGAACUGGAGAUUUGCUCAACGAUGUUUCCUCAGAGCUGUUUCCUUUUUCUUCCAGCUCUCACUGUUGUAUUCUACAUUAAACACACAUUUAGCAUCAUGAACUGUCAGGCUCUCUUUUUUGGGUAUUUCAGCUCAUGUGACAAUUUUAGCCUGCUAAUGGUGAUAAAACAGAUACCAGAAACUAAGCCCCAAAAGUCAGUUGUCAUAGGUGCUCUUGUAUGCAAUAUACAAACCAAUAUAUAAUACUGCAGUUUUUCUCUUGAGUAGUGUUUUUAUCUUUUAUUGGCAAAUACAUCUUUGCUGCAUUUGCAGCUGUUACCCUUUUGAUUUGACAUAACACAUAGAGCUACCUGAAUGUCCAGCUUGAUUUAGCUACAAGCAUCAAAUCAUUUCUCAGACCUAUUGAUAUAAUUGUUUGCUCUCACUUAACACUCUUGAUACAUGGCUAAUUCAAGAUUACUGCAAAAACUCACUUUCCUGCUGAUCUUACACACACAAAUCUAUAAUUAGGAAUUUCCACAUCAAGUUGAAAUGCAGAAUACACAUUUUAUUGGUGCAAAGGCCUCAGUAUGUAUUUUAUGUAAUUAUUUCAGUAAUGGUUGAAUUGAAUAAAAAAUUCCUGGAGUUACCUGCAAUAAUACCUUGCUUCCAUCUUUACUGAUAAUGUAAAGUCACAGACUGCGAUUACAGAAAAAUGUUUCUUUUAAUAUCUUCAGCUUUUAAUUGUUAUCCUUGCUACUUUCUACUUAAAGUCUGUGUUCCUGCUGAGUUCUCAAAGUACUUUUUAACUAUGCAGCAACAAAGUAAAAAAAUGCUAGAUAGCACAAUAAGUAAUACAGUGCCAUGUGCACAGUAAUUUCCCCUGGCACAGACAGAAAGGACAAAAAGGAAUGGGUUAGUCAGGAAAAGCUGUUUCUGGGCAUGAACACAGAGCAAGACCAUUGAAGCCAAUCAGGUAAUGACAAUAGUACCAGGAUUCUCCCACCUACCUUUAUGCAUUCCACAUAGUUUGUACCCUGAGCAGUGGGAAAAAUGAGAAUUACCUGGUAGAUGUGAUUUAUAGAGCCAGACUGUUAAAAGCAGUUCAUAGAGAAAAAAAAUUACAACUGCCAAGAUUUUAAUAAAGGCUGCAAAGCCCUAGAAGGGCAUGUCUUUCAAUAAAAAGUUAUUUUCACCUUUAUUUGGGAGAGCUUUUCAUUAAGCAUGUAUAUAAAUAAAAAUUUUACACUUCUAUAGUAUUUUUUUUUUGUUUUAUUAAAAUAAAUAAGACUGGAAUUUAAAAUCAACUGAGAAAUAUGAAAUGUAUUGAGACAAAUACAGGACAGUUUAAUUUAUUGUAUGUGUCUGUAUUGGAAUGAAAAGAUAGCACUUUAAUUUUUCAGUUACAAAUUCUAAGGGC